rnacentral:rRNA from 1 species
UGUUCUUUGAGUCGCGUUGUUUGGGAAUGCAGCGCAAAGUAGGUGGUAAAUUCCAUCUAAAGCUAAAUAUUGGUGCGAGACCGAUAGCGAACAAGUACCGUGAGGGAAAGAUGAAAAGAACUUUGAAAAGAGAGUUAAAGAGUACCUGAAACUGCUGAAAGGGAACCGAAUCGUUUCCAGUGUCUAUAAUCUGCGGCAUAUUUCAUGUGCGAGUGCGUGCGUUUCGGCUUUGUGGCAGCGGUCUUUUGUCUGCGCCCGUUGCUGUUUGUGCGUGUGCUUGCGCGUGCCCUGUGCUGUGGUGGGACGUCAAGGUGAGUUCGAAUGCUGCGGGAAAUGGCCGUCGGGGAGGUAGGUCUUAAGCUCUGCUUUUGGCUAUUAUAUCUCGGCGGUUGAGUCGUCGCGGUUGGGACUGAGGUGCCUACAACGUGCUUUUGAGCGCGUGCGUGUCUCUGUGCUUGCGUUGUGCGGAUAGCUUGCUAUGCGCGUGGCGUUGCGUGCGGAUGGAUAUGCGCUGCUGCUUGUUGCCGUUCGGGACUUUGACGAAAUGGCGCGAUCCGACCCGUCUUGAAACACGGACCAAGGAGUCUAACACGCGUGCAAGUGUUUUGGUGUGGAAACCAUAACGCGCAAUGAAAGUAAAGGGCGCCUUACGGUGUCUGAGGUAGGAAAGCUUGUCGUUUGUGGCGGGCUGGCACUAUCGACCGAUCAUGAGCCUUCGUGGCGAAAGAUUUGAGUUUGAGCACGUGUGUUGGUACCCGAAAGAUGGUGAACUAUGCCUGAGUAGGGUGAAGCCAGGGGAAACUCUGGUGGAAGCUCGUAGCGAUUCUGACGUGCAAAUCGAUCGUCAAACUUGGGUAUAGGGGCGAAAGACUAAUCGAACCAUCUAGUAGCUGGUUCCCUCCGAAAUUUCCCUCAGGAUAGCAGCAACUUUUUUACGAUA